CACGUAGGGUGCGAGCGUUGUCCGGAAUUAUUGGGCGUAAAGAGCUCGUAGGCGGCGUGUCGCGUCGGCCGUGAAAACCUGCAGCUUAACUGUGGGCGUGCGGUCGAUACGGGCAUCACUGGAGUUCGGCAGGGGAGACUGGAAUUCCUGGUGUAGCGGUGAAAUGCGCAGAUAUCAGGAGGAACACCGGUGGCGAAGGCGGGUCUCUGGGCCGAUACUGACGCUGAGGAGCGAAAGUGUGGGGAGCGAACAGG
rnacentral:rRNA from 1 species